CCUUCUGCUAUCGGGGUGGGACUAAGACAUGCGAGUCGAGCGUCUCUAGCUAUGUUGAGACGCGGCAGACGGCUCAGUAACACGUGGCUAACCUACCCUCAGGACGAGGAUAAACCCGGGAAACUGGGGCUAAUACUCGAUAGGUGAGAAUGUCUGGAAUGAUUUCUCAUUCAAAGGGCUUUAGAAACAUGCUUCUAAAGUCGCCUGGGGAUGGGGCCGCGUCCGAUCAGGUUGUUGGUGAGGUAACGGCUCACCAAGCCUAUAACCGGUACGGGCCGUGAGAGCGGUAGCCCGGAGAUGGGUGCUGAGACAAGGACCCAGGCCCUACGGGGCGCAGCAGUCGCGAAAACUCCGCAAUGCACGAAAGUGUGACGGGGCUACCCCGAGUGCCAUCCGCUGAGGAUGGCUUUUCUUUGGUGUAACUAGCCGGGGGAAUAAGGAGAGGGCAAGACUGGUGUCAGCCGCCGCGGUAAUACCAGCUCUCCGAGUGGUAGGGAUGAUAUUGGGCUUAAAGCGUCCGUAGCCGGCUUAGCAAGUCUUCUGUUAAAUUCAGCGACCUAAUCGUUGAGCCGCGGGAGAUACUACUAGGCUAGGAGGCGGGAGAGGUCGACGGUACUUCUGGGGUAGGGGUGAAAUCCUAUAAUCCCGGGAGGACCACCAGUGGCGAAGGCUGUUGACUAGAACGCGCUCGACGGUGAGGGACGAAAGCUGGGGGAGCGAACCGGAUUAGAUACCCGGGUAGUCCCAGCCGUAAACGAUGCGGGCUAGGUGUUGGGGUGGCUACGUGCCACUUCAGUGCCGCAGGGAAGCCAUUAAGCCCGCCGCCUGGGGAGUACGGCCGCAAGGCUGAAACUUAAAGGAAUUGGCGGGGGAGCACCACAAGGCGUGAAGCUUGCGGUUCA
rnacentral:rRNA from 1 species